rnacentral:rRNA from 1 species
CUCUAGCAUUCCCAGUAUUAGAGGCACUGCCUGCCCGGUGACACUAGUUAAACGGCCGCGGUAUCCUGACCGUGCAAAGGUAGCAUAAUCAUUUGUUCCCUAAAUAGGGACUUGUAUGAAUGGCCACACGAGGGCUUUACUGUCUCUUACUUCCAAUCCGUGAAAUUGACCUUCCCGUGAAGAGGCGGGAAUACAACAAUAAGACGAGAAGACCCUAUGGAGCUUUAAUUAACCGACCCAAAGAGACCCAUUAAUUUCAACCGACAGGAACAACAAACCUCUAUAUGGGCCGACAAUUUAGGUUGGGGUGACCUCGGAGAACAGAACAACCUCCGAGUGAUUUAAAUCAAGACUAACCAGUCGAAAGUAUUACAUCACUUAUUGAUCCAAAAGUUUGAUCAACGGAACAAGUUACCCUAGGGAUAACAGCGCAAUCCUAUUUC